UACAGAGGGGGCAAGCGUUAUUCGGAAUUAUUGGGCGUAAAGGGCGCGUAGGCGGUUUUUUAAGUCAGAUGUGUAAUCCCCGAGCUCAACUUGGGAACUGCAUCUGAGACUGGAAGGCUAGAGUACUGGAGAGGGUGGUAGAAUUCCACGUGUAGCGGUGAAAUGCGUAGAGAUGUGGAGGAAUACCAGUGGCGAAGGCGGCCACCUGGACAGUGACUGACGCUGAGGCGCGAAAGUGUGGGUAGCAAACAGGAUUAGAUACCCUGGUAGUCCACGCUGUAAACGAUGAACACUUGGUGUGGUGGGAGUUGACCCCUGCCGUGCCGGAGCUAACGCGUUAAGUGUUCCGCCUGGGGAGUACGGUCGCAAGGCUGAA
rnacentral:rRNA from 1 species